GAAAAGAGAAGAAAGAAAAUUUCCCUUUCCACCACGCGCCGCUUCCUCCUUCACCUGCGAGCUUCCCCAAACCCUCUUCAUCCCUUGUUUCUCUUCACUUUCUUGCUCUCUCUUUUCUUCAUCAAUGAAAGAUUGAUUUCGCUACUGGCCUAGGUUAACUCGUGUAACCAUUGCCAUCGCCGACCACCACCACCACCACUGUAACCAUUGACGAUAGCUGCCAUCCAUCAUCCUACUCCUUGGACUUCGUUUCCAUCCGAUCUGCCUCAGAUUCGCAUCUCUGUCAUUGUUUGUUCAUCUCAGAUCUACGUCGCCAAGGGCUUUCAGCCACCGUUGCUGCUCUUAUCGCAACACCACACCUCCGUCGCUUGCACCGCCACCGUUCUUGCAUGUAGACGCACAAGAUCAUCGCCGCCGGUUGGGGUUAUGGCUUUUGUCACAGGUUGAGCCCUCAGAGAUAUUUUUGAAAUCUAUAUCGAAUGAAGUCACUAGCGUCAAAGUCAUUUACCCUUCAAGUCUAAAUGCACAACUUGUUCGCCGAAGAUUAGGACAUAUUGCUCUGAGGGGAACAAUUAUCCACCGAAAAUACUUAUAUGCUACAGUUUCAUUGAUUCCAUUUUUCUCUACACUGAUGGUUUUACCUUUUCCUAAUAUCACAUUCUUCUGGGUUUCAUUUCGGGCUUAUUCUCAUUGGAGAGCCCUUCAGGAUAUGUAGGUUUAAUAUAGCUACAUUAUGAAAAGCUACAUAAUGCCAUUAGCAAACUUAAGCAGCAAUUCCCUUCAGCAAUGCUUAAGCUUUCCAGAUGAAAUUGCAGGGACAAAGUCAGAGUUCCAAUGGCAACUUUGUGCUCGAGUUGGACUUUGAGCCUUUUAACAUAUCAUUUUCCCGCCCAACACUUAACAAGUCAAUUGGAAAUGGCGUUGAGUUCUUUAAUGGCCACCUUUCCGCUAAGUUUUUCCGUGGUAAGGAGAGCAUGCAGCCAUUGCUGGAGUUCCUAAGGCUUCAUAGCUACAAUGGAAAGGUAUGCUCUAUGCACUUCUGACAACAAAUUCACAAAUUUUUUAACAACAAAAGAUGAUUGGCACCAUUGGUAAAGCAAUAAAAUGACCUUGUAUCUUAAAAGACGCUUGCUGAAAUGAUGAUCACUUAGGUGGGACAAUAAUCUGUAACUAUCUCUGAAGAUAUUCUUUGGAAGGAUCCCUAUGGUCUUCAAUAUGGUGAUCCUUUCUCCCAUGGUUACUUUGCUCAAGACAAUGUCUUGGGAUACCCUAAUACUAGUGGCCAGGUUAUUUGAGAACUCUAGAUCAUAUGAUAAAAUUUGUAAUUCUAUUUUCGUGUUAACAUUUUAUUCCUCAAUAAUGUUAAUUGGCAUAAACUGUUCUUGAUUCUAUAAUCAGGUUGUUUACAUCUUGGAUCAAGUUCGUGCAUUGGAGAAUGAGAUGCUCAACCGCAUCAACAAAUAAGGCUUGGACAUCACCCCUCGCAUUCUCAUUGUAUCUCCCUAUUCCAGAUGUAAAUAUUUAGCUGACUUGUAUAUAGUGAAUCGAUUUUCACUAACUUGAGCCUGUGAUUGCUUUUAAAAUGGAUUUUCACCCCGUGAUUUUCAUUAAUAUUUAACCUAUCAUUGGGAUUGGUUUAUAGCCUAACUUAAUGUAACAUAGUUAUAAGCUUGUAGCAUUUUUUAUUAUUUAGAUUUGUAACAUGAUUUAUUACUUUUCAAGAGAAAUUUGUGUAU